GCUGACGUAGUGUAGCGGUAGCAUAAGAGCCUGUGGAGCUCUUGGGUCGGGUCCGAAUCCCGGCGUCGGCC
rnacentral:tRNA from 1 species